rnacentral:rRNA from 1 species
ACUCCUACGGGAGGCAGCAGUAGGGAAUCUUCCACAAUGGGCGCAAGCCUGAUGGAGCAACAACCGCGUGAGUGAAGAAGGGUUUCGGCUCGUAAAGCUCUGUUGUUAAAGAAGAACACGUAUGAGAGUAACUGUUCAUACGUUGACGGUAUUUAACCAGAAAGUCACGGCUAACUACGUGCCAGCAGCCGCGGUAAUACGUAGGUGGCAAGCGUUAUCCGGAUUUAUUGGGCGUAAAGAGAGUGCAGGCGGUUUUCUAAGUCUGAUGUGAAAGCCUUCGGCUUAACCGGAGAAGUGCAUCGGAAACUGGAUAACUUGAGUGCAGAAGAGGGUAGUGGAACUCCAUGUGUAGCGGUGGAAUGCGUAGAUAUAUGGAAGAACACCAGUGGCGAAGGCGGCUACCUGGUCUGCAACUGACGCUGAGACUCGAAAGCAUGGGUAGCGAACAGGAUUAGAUACCCUGGUAGGAUAGCG